rnacentral:rRNA from 1 species
GUAGUCUCGCACAGAUGCAUAUCAAUAAGCGGAGGAAAAGAAACUAACAAGGAUUCCCCUAGUAACGGCGAGUGAAGCGGGAAGAGCUCAAAUUUGAAAUCUUAAAGGGUUUCCCUUUACGAAUUGUAGUUUAAAGAAGUGUUUUCUGUUGAGGUUUUGGUAAAAGUUCUUUGGAAUAGGACAUCAUAGAGGGUGAGAAUCCCGUAUUUGACCUUUACUUUCAACUUUGUGAUACACUUUCAAAGAGUCGGAUUGUUUGGGAAUGCAGUCCAAAAUGCGGUGGUAAAUUUCAUCUAAAGCUAAAUAUUGGCGAGAGACCGAUAGCGAACAAGUACCGUGAGGGAAAGAUGAAAAGAACUUUGAAAAGAGAGUUAAACAGUACGUGAAAUUGUCAAAAGGGAAGCGUUUGACACCAGUGUUGUUUUUCUGAAAAUCAAUUAAAGAACUGUUUAUGCUAAGUUGUUUAGACUUUAUCAGCUAACUGUUUAGUUUUGAGCUUUUCUUUAAUGCACUUUUCAGUUAACAAGUCAACAUCAAUUUCUUUUGCUGUAAAAAAGCUUGAGGAAGGUGGCUUGAGAUUCGUCUUAAGUGUUUAUAGCCUCUUGCCUAUGCAGUCGGAGAGAUUGAGGUCUGCAGCGUAGAUCCUUCGGGGCUAAAUGCAUUUGUGCUAAGUUAUAGCAUUUUAUAGACAACUUGUUGACUAUGAUUUGUCUUGUAGCUUACUCGCUUAUGUUAUUUUACCUACGCUUAGGAUGUUGACGCGCGUGUGUGCGUG